rnacentral:sRNA from 1 species
CAUUUGGUCAUAAAAGGAAUCAAGCAAAAUUCUGAGGCAGAGACAGGACCACAUAGUAAGAAUGGUUGGAAAAGCACAACAACAUCAUAGGAAUUCAGUGAGCUUAAGUGGAAAAGGAAAAGGGAAAUGACACUAAAGAGUGGUGGGAGUUAUAUUCCUUUAUAAGAAUGUUGUUAAUUCUUGUUAGGCACUCUCAUAGGAUGGUUGUUUUCACUGGAAAUUAUUUAUCAGAUUCAUAGUACUACAGAUAUUAUUCUUUUUAACUUAGAUAUUGUUAAAUAC